rnacentral:rRNA from 1 species
UACAGAGGUCCCGAGCGUUGUUCGGAUUUAUUGGGCGUAAAGGGUGCGUAGGCGGCGGAGUAAGUUGGGUGUGAAAUCCCGGGGCUUAACCUCGGAAUUGCAUUCAAUACUGCUUCGCUUGAGUACUGGAGAGGAGGCUGGAAUUUACGGUGUAGCAGUGAAAUGCGUAGAUAUCGUAAGGAAGGCCGGUGGCGAAAGCGAGCCUCUGGACAGUUACUGACGCUGAGACGCGAAAGCGUGGGGAGCAAACAGG